GACGAACCGUGCGAACGUUAUUCGGAAUCACUGGGCUUAAAGCGCGUGUAGGCGGGACGGCACGUCGGUCGCUGAAAUCCCCCGGCUCAACCGGGGAACGGGCACCGAUACGGGCGGCCUCGAGGGGGGUAGGGGGGUCUGGAACUUCCGGUGGAGCGGUGAAAUGCGUUGAGAUCGGAAGGAACGCCCGUGGCGAAAGCGGCUUUUUGGUCUGUAACUGACGCUGAGGCGCGAAAGCGUGGGGAGCAAACAGG
rnacentral:rRNA from 1 species